rnacentral:rRNA from 1 species
CCAAUAGCGUAUAUUAGUGUUGUUGCGGUUAAAAAGCUCGUAGUUGAAUUUCGGGAUUGGGAUAUAUCGGUCAUGCCUUUAGGGGCAUGAAUCGGUGUGUAGCCAAUUUCUCACCUUCUGGUGAAUUGAGAUGCUCUUGGGUGUUUCAAUGAACUAGGACUUUUACUUUGAAAAAAAUAUAGUGUUUAACGCGGGCAUUUUUGCUUGAAUACAUUAGCUUGGAAUAAUAAAAUAGGACGAUGGUUCUAUUUUGUUGGUUUUAGGACCACGUAAUGAUUAAUAGGGAUAGUUGGGGGCAUUAGUAUUCAAUAGUCAGAGGUGAAAUUCUUGGAUUUAUUGAGGACUAACUACUGCGAAAGCAUUUGCCAAGGAUGUUUUCAUUAAUCAAGAACGAAAGUUAGGGGAUCGAAGACGAUUUAUGUACGUCGUAGUCUUAACCACAAACUAUGCCGACUAGAGAUCAGACAGGCUUAUUUUUUAUGACCUGUUUGGCAUCUUAUG